UUGAACGCUGGCGGCAGGCCUAACACAUGCCAGUCGAGCGGAUGAAGGGAGCUUGCUCCUGGAUUCAGCGGCGGACGGGUGAGUAAUGCCUCGGAAUCUGCCUGGUCGUGGGGGAUAACGUCCGGAAACGGGCGCUAAUACCGCCUACGUCCUGACUGCGACAGUGGGGGAUCUUCGGACCUCACGCUAUCAGAUGAGCCUAGGUCGGAUUAGCUAGUUGGUGGGGUAAAGGCCUACCAAGGCGACGAUCCGUAACUGGUCUGAGAGGAUGAUCAGUCACACGGGAACUGAGACACGGUCAAGACGCCUAAGGGAGGCAGCAGUGGGGAAUAUGGGGCAAUGGGCGAAAGCCUGAUCCAGCCAUGCCGCGUGUGUGAAGAAGGUCUUCGGAGUGUAAAGAAGGUUAAGGGGGGAGGAAGGGCAGUAAGUUAAUACCUAGCUGGUGUGACGUUAACAACAGAAUAAGCACCGGCUAACUUCGUG
rnacentral:rRNA from 1 species